rnacentral:lncRNA from 1 species
UUUUUCUUAAUUUAAUUAUCAUUUUCCACACAUAUUCAUUUGCAAACUCCUCUUCUAAACCCAAAUCUCCUUUGUUUCUCAGCACUGGUUGACUUUUUAAAGCGGAUGUCUUUGAAAUGCACUAAUGUCCAAAGAUAAAUGUGUUGCCUCAAGCACCACUUCAGGGUUGUCAGCCCCAGAGGAUGAGUCAUCAGGAAGAUCAUUAAGGAAGAUUUUAAUAUAAGAAGACUUUAUUGGAUAUCUGUGAUUUGCAGAACACUGUUGAGAAACAAACAACACACAGAAUGCAAGCUUGCCUUUAAAAAUGUGUAUCCUAAUUAGGGAAAUAAUUAUGUUUCCAUGUAUAUCAUAUGUACACACACACAUACACAUAGGUAUGUAUGAUCAUCUCAUGUAUGUCAUAUAUGUGUAUUUGUGUGUAUAGAUAUACUUUUUUUUGUUAGAACAACUACAUCAAUGUGAACCAAAAAACUCACAAUGGCAGAAGAGGCCUCUGAGUCUGUUUCUUAUCUAUUUCUGAGCAUCACUAGGCACCUCUCUCCUGUGUAAUUCAUAUGACAACAACGUACACUAUGACAUGUGUUUAUUUUACCAAAUGUUGUUCUUUCAUUUGUCUUGAAUACGCUGAAUUCCCCUGCUCACCUGAACAACUGUAUUCAUCUCCCAAAACCUGUCUCUUGAUUCUGGGUAAAGAUUUUGCUUAUUGAGUCACUUCAGGUUAGUGUCCAGUCUUUUGGAUUCUGAUAUAGUGUGGGUGUGUCCCCACCCAAAUCUCAUCUUGAAUCGUAGUUCCCAUAAUUCCCAUGUGUUGCGGAAGGGACUUCCUGGAAGGUAAUCAAAUCACGGGGGUGGGUCUUUCCCGUGCUGUUCUUGCGAUAGUGAAUAAGUCUCACAAGAUCUGAUGCUUUUAUAAAGGGUAGUUCCCUUGCACACGCUUUCUUGCCUGCCACCAUGUAAAUUGUGCCCUUGUUCCUCCUUCAUCUCCUGCCAUGAUUGUGAGGCCUCCCCAGCCACGUGCAACUGUGAGUCCAUUAAAUCUCUUUCCUUUAUAAAUUACCCAGUCUCAGGUAUGUCUUCAUUAGCAGCAUGAGAACAG